AUAUUCAUGUUUCUCUUCAGAACGCAUAAAUCUUUCGCCUUUUACUAAAGAUUUCCGUGGGGAGAAACAAGCUUGAAUCUUGAUUGAAUUUUUUCAGGCCUUGUGCAGUGACAGGGCU